UAAUACAGAGGGUGCGAGCGUUAAUCGGAUUUACUGGGCGUAAAGCGUGCGUAGGCGGCUUCUUAAGUCGGAUGUGAAAUCCCUGAGCUUAACUUAGGAAUUGCAUUCGAUACUGGGAAGCUAGAGUAUGGGAGAGGAUGGUAGAAUUCCAGGUGUAGCGGUGAAAUGCGUAGAGAUCUGGAGGAAUACCGAUGGCGAAGGCAGCCAUCUGGCCUAAUACUGACGCUGAGGUACGAAAGUAUGGGGAGCAAACAGGAUUAGAUACCCUGGUAGUCCAUGCCGUAAACGAUGUCUACUAGCCGUUGGGGCCUUUGAGGCUUUAGUGGCGCAGCUAACGCGAUAAGUAGACCGCCUGGGGAGUACGGUCGCAAGACUAAA
rnacentral:rRNA from 1 species